rnacentral:lncRNA from 1 species
AACUGGCUCUGCCCCAUCUAUUAAGAAAGAUGAACACUCCUUUCUCUUCCAUCUCCUUCAUGGGAGACCACUUUUCAUUUCAGAUUAUCACAUCAAUAAAUAUUCUUCGAGGAAUAAAAAAGGCACUUUGCCAAAAGAUAAGAGAAUAUAUAUGCAAUGUCUGGAUUGUGGAGAAAGACAAUACAUGAAGGCAAGAGAAUAGGCACAUAUAUGUAAAUAUGCACAUAAUCACCUCCGAGAACGCAAAGCACGGGAGGUAGAGACAAACAGAACACCUGGAGAGAACACAUAUCGCUCACAAGGUUCUCACAGGCUGUGCACGCUCUUCCACACACCGAGGCACACACCCACUGACCGGCACGCAGUCUCCCCCUCCACACACACACACACACACACACACACACACACACACACACAGAGACGGACCUCAGAAAAGGCAUCCAAAUGAAUUCACACUCAGUGGAAAGACUGCCGAGAAAAUACUAGAGAAGAAUUAAAAUGGUUCAUCCCCUCCCCCUCCAAAAAAAAUACUCAAGCGAAAUGACUCUAUUUGCAUAAUACUAAUAUACGCAGGACGCAGACACGGGCAAGAAAAAAAAAAGGCUCCAUUUGAUGC